GACGAACGCUGGCGGCGUGCUUAACACAUGCAAUUCGAACGGAAAGGCCCUGCUUUGUUGGGGUGUCCGAGUGGCGAACGGGGGAGUAACACGUGAUUAACCUGCCCUUGCCUUUGGGAUAACUUCAGGAAACUGGGGCUAUUACCGGAUAGGAGCUCCUGCUCCAUGGUGGGGGUGGGAAAGUUUCGGCGGUUGGGGAUGGACUCGCGGCUUAUCAGCUUGUUGGUGGGGUAGUGGCUUACCAAGGCUUUGACGGGUAGCCGGCCUGAGAGGGUGACCGGCCACAUUGGGACUGAGAUACGGCCCAGACUCCUACGGGAGGCAGCAGUGGGGAAUAUUGCACAAUGGGCGGAAGCCUGAUGCAGCAACGCCGCGUGCGGGAUGACGGCCUUCGGGUUGUAAACCGCUUUCGCCUGUGACGAAGCGUGAGUGACGGUAAUGGGUAAAGAAGCACCGGCUAACUACGUG
rnacentral:rRNA from 1 species